UGGGGGAUGACGUCAAGUCCUCAUGGCCCUUAUGGGUAGGGCUUCACACGUCAUACAAUGGUCGGUACAGAGGGUUGCCAAGCCGCGAGGUGGAGCCAAUACCCAGAAAGCCGAUCGUAGUCCGGAUUGUUCUCUGCAACUCGAGAGCAUGAAGUCGGAAUCGCUAGUAAUCGCGGAUCAGCAUGUCGCGGUGAAUACGUUCCCGGGUCUU
rnacentral:rRNA from 1 species